rnacentral:rRNA from 1 species
CAGCCUACGGGGGGCAGCAGUGAGGAAUAUUGGUCAAUGGGCGGAAGCCUGAACCAGCCAAGUCGCGUGAGGGAAGAAGGCCCUGCGGGUCGCAGACCUCUUUGGACGGGAAGCAAGGCCGCCGACGUGUCGGCGGAAGGAGAGUACCCGUAGAACAAGCAUCGGCUAACUCCGUGCCAGCAGCCGCGGUAAUACGGAGGAUGCGAGCGUUAAUCGGAAUUACUGGGCGUAAAGCGCACGUAGGCUGUAUGACAAGUCAAGGGUGAAAUGCCACGGCUCAACCGUGGAACUGCCUUUGAAACUGU